GACGAACGCUGGCGGCGUGCCUAAUACAUGCAAGUCGAGCGCAGGAAACUGACGGACCUCUUCGGAGGGAAGGCAGUGGAAUGAGCGGCGGACGGGUGAGUAACACGUAAGGAACCUGCCUCAAGGAUUGGGAUAACUCCGAGAAAUCGGAGCUACUACCGGAUAGUUCAGCGGACCGCAUGGUCCGUUGAUGAAAGGCGCUCCGGCGUCACCUUGCGAUGGCCUUGCGGUGCGUUAGCUAGUUGGUGGGGUAACGGCUCACCAAGGCGACGAUGCAUAGCCGACCUGAGAGGGUGAUCGGCACACUGGGACUGAGACACGGCCCAGACUCCUACGGGAGGCAGCAGUAGGGAAUCUUCCACAAUGGACGAAAGUCUGAUGGAGCAACGCCGCGUGAGUGAUGAAGGUUUUCGGAUCGUAAAACUCUGUUGUAAGGGAAGAACACGUACGAGAGGAAAUGCUCGUACCUUGACGGUACCUUACGAGAAAGCCACGGCUAACUACGUGCCAGCCGCCGCUGUAA
rnacentral:rRNA from 1 species